rnacentral:rRNA from 1 species
GACGAACGCUGGCGGCGUGCUUAACACAUGCAAGUCGAACGCUGAAGCUCAGCUUUUGUUGGGUGGAUGAGUGGCGAACGGGUGAGUAACACGUGAGUAACCUGCCUCCUUCUUUGGGAUAACGCCCGGAAACGGGUGCUAAUACUGGAUAUUCACUGGUCUUCGCAUGGGGGUUGGUGGAAAGGGUUUUUCUGGUGGGGGAUGGGCUCGCGGCCUAUCAGCUUGUUGGUGGGGUGAUGGCCCACCAAGGCUUUGACGGGUAGCCGGCCUGAGAGGGUGACCGGUCACAUUGGGACUGAGAUACGGCCCAGACUCCUACGGGAGGCAGCAGUGGGGAAUAUUGCACAAUGGGCGCAAGCCUGAUGCAGCGACGCCGCGUGAGGGAUGGAGGCCUUCGGGUUGUGAACCUCUUUCGCUCAUGGUCAAGCCGCAACAAUGGUUGUGGUGAGGGUAGUGGGUAAAGAAGCGCCGGCUAACUACGU